AAGUCGAACGAACCGACAGGGUGCUUGCACCCUUGACGUUAGUGGCGAACGGGUGAGUAACACGUGGGGAACCUACCCCUUAGCGAGGGAUAACUAGCGGAAACGUUAGCUAAAACCUCAUAGACCAAGAGUCGCAUGACUCGAUGGGGAAAAGUGCUUCUGGUACUACUAAGGGAUGGUCCCGCGGUGCAUUAGUUAGAUGGUGGGGUAACGGCCUACCAUGACAGUGAUGCAUAGCCGGCCUGAGAGGGUGAACGGCCACAUUGGGACUGAGACACGGCCCAGACUCCUACGGGAGGCAGCAGUAGGGAAUUUUCCGCAAUGGACGCAAGUCUGACGGAGCGACGCCGCGUGUGUGAAGAAGGCCUUCGGGUCGUAAAGCACUGUUAUUAGGGAAGAACAAGUCUAAGAGUAACUGCUUAGGCCAUGACGGUACCUAACCAGAAAGUCACGGCUAACUAAGUGCCAGCAGCCGCGGUAAU
rnacentral:rRNA from 1 species